rnacentral:rRNA from 2 species
GUCGAGCGAAUGGAUUAAGAGCUUGCUCUUAUGAAGUUAGCGGCGGACGGGUGAGUAACACGUGGGUAACCUACCCAUAAGACUGGGAUAACUCCGGGAAACCGGGGCUAAUACCGGAUAAUAUUUUGAACUGCAUAGUUCGAAAUUGAAAGGCGGCUUCGGCUGUCACUUAUGGAUGGACCCGCGUCGCAUUAGCUAGUUGGUGAGGUAACGGCUCACCAAGGCGACGAUGCGUAGCCGACCUGAGAGGGUGAUCGGCCACACUGGGACUGAGACACGGCCCAGACUCCUACGGGAGGCAGCAGUAGGGAAUCUUCCGCAAUGGACGAAAGUCUGACGGAGCAACGCCGCGUGAGUGAUGAAGGCUUUCGGGUCGUAAAACUCUGUUGUUAGGGAAGAACAAGUGCUAGUUGAAUAAGCUGGCACCUUGACGGUACCUAACCAGAAAGCCACGGCUAACUACGUGCCAGCAGCCGCGGUAAUACGUAGGUGGCAAGCGUUAUCCGGAAUUAUUGGGCGUAAAGCGCGCGCAGGUGGUUUCUUAAGUCUGAUGUGAAAGCCCACGGCUCAACCGUGGAGGGUCAUUGGAAACUGGGAGACUUGAGUGCAGAAGAGGAAAGUGGAAUUCCAUGUGUAGCGGUGAAAUGCGUAGAGAUAUGGAGGAACACCAGUGGCGAAGGCGACUUUCUGGUCUGUAACUGACACUGAGGCGCGAA